CACAAUCUCUCAAGCCUAGCUUGGGGUGUUGGGUCUUCGUCCCCUCCCUCUCCCUCUCUCUACCGUUCGGGUAGAGGGGAGAGGACCCGGAUGUACCUAAAAAUUAGUGGCGGUGCCCAUGUUGGUCUCAAGCGUAGCAGACUCUCUCUCGCUUUGGAUGACCUGUCAUGUUAGCCCACCAGCCCCUGCAUCAUGCAUGCAUGCAUGCAUGCAUGCACCUUUUUAACCAAG
rnacentral:misc_RNA from 1 species